AUCCUUGAAAACGGGUACCCCGUU
rnacentral:misc_RNA from 1 species